CUCAGGCAGCUAAGCGAACGACUCU
rnacentral:miRNA from 1 species